rnacentral:rRNA from 1 species
AGUUUGAUCCUGGCUCUAGUUGUACCCAGUUUCCCUCCGCGUUAAUCGCGCCGGGAUAUACUUCGGGCACCCUUAGGCUAAUACCGGAUUAGAGCCAAUGGACAUCGCCUAUGUCUAUUGUACAGGUCAUGGUCGCAAGCUUACACGAUAAGAUGGGCCUGCGGCGCAUUAGCUAGUUGGUAAGGUAACGGCUUACCAAGGCGACGAUGCGUAGCCGACCUGAGAGGGUGAUCGGCCACACUGGGACUGAGACACGGCCCAGACUCCUACGGGAGGCAGCAGUAGGGAAUCUUCCGCAAUGGACGAAAGUCUGACGGAGCAACGCCGCGUGAACGAUGAAGGCCUUCGGGUCGUAAAGUUCUGUUGUCAGGGGAAGAACAAGUGCCGUUUGAAUAAGGCGGCACCUUGACGGUACCUGACCAGAAAGCCACGGCUAACUACGUGCCAGCAGCCGCGGUAAUACGUAGGUGGCAAGCGUUGUCCGGAAUUAUUGGGCGUAAAGCGCGCGCAGCGCGGUGUUUUAAGUCUGAUGUGAAAGCCCAUGGCUCCACCAUGGAUGGUCAUUGGAAACUGGGAGACUUGAGUUCAGAAGAGGAGAGUGGAAUUCCACGUGUAGCGGUGAAAUGCGUAGAUAUGUGGAGGAACACCAGUGGCGAAGGCGACUCUCUGUUCUGUAACUGACGCUGAGGCGCGAAAGCGUGGGGAGCAAACAGGGAUUAGAUACCCUGGUAGUCCACGCCGUAAACGAUGAGUGCUAGGUGUUAGGGGUUUCGAUGCCCUUAGUGCCGAAGUUAACACAUUAAGCACUCCGCCUGGGGAGUACGGCCGCAAGGCUGAAACUCAAAGGAAUUGACGGGGGCCCGCACAAGCGGUGGAGCAUGUGGUUUAAUUCGAAGCAACGCGAAGAACCUUACCAGGUCUUGACAUCCCGAUGACCGCUCUGGAGACAGAGUUUCCCCUUCGGGGGCAUCGGUGACAGGUGGUGCAUGGUUGUCGUCAGCUCGUGUCGUGAGAUGUUGGGUUAAGUCCCGCAACGAGCGCAACCCUUGACCUUAGUUGCCAGCAUUCAGUUGGGCACUCUAAGGUGACUGCCGGUGACAAACCGGAGGAAGGUGGGGAUGACGUCAAAUCAUCAUGCCCCUUAUGACCUGGGCUACACACGUGCUACAAUGGAUGGUACAAAGGGAAGCGAAGCCGCGAGGUGGAGCCAAUCCCAUAAAGCCAUUCUCAGUUCGGAUUGCAGGCUGCAACUCGCCGUGCAUGAAGCCGGAAUCGCUAGUAAUCGCGGAUCAGCAUGCCGCGGUGAAUACGUUCCCGGGCCUUGUACACACCGCCCGUCACACCACGAGAGUUUGAUCCUGGCUCAGUCGUAACAAGGUAACC